CAUUACAAUGAUUAUGCUGGAGCCAAUGGCAUUACCCAAUGGUUAAGUGUUAAUCAGUUUCAAACUAUUUAAUAUUAACAGGGUUAUUCACAAAAGUAAGAAUGGCUGAGAAUUCAUAAAUAAUCUCAAACGUAAGGCAAAAAUAGCCAAAAUGAACAGGGUUGACUUGGAGAAUUUUUUUAAAAUAAGCUAUUUAAGCCAAAAUGUUGAAAUUCACUUCCAUUUCCCGACAAUUCUCACGUUACUGUUGAUGAAGGUACUGGACGCCCAUGACUCCGCAACACACAACACUAACUCUCCAUCCAACUAUCGUCCUAUCUCGCUACUGCCUUUUGCAUCCAAGAUCCUUGAAAGAAUUGUGUAUGCGAGAUUGACAGACUUCCUCGAGUCCAACUUUCUGCUAGAGCCGCUUCAGUCUGGUUUCCGCGCGAAGCACUCUGUGGAAACUGCACUGACCAAAGUAUCCAAUGAUCUACUCGCUGCAAAAUCUCGUGGUCACUACUCUAUCGUAAUUCUCCUUGACCUGUCUGCGGCUUUUGACACUGUUGAUCAUCAACAGCUUCUUCUCAUCCUCCGCAAUAUCGGUCUACAAGAUAUUGCUCUCUCCUGGUGCUCCUCCUACCUCUCCCAGCGCUCUUUUAGUGUUUCUUUAUCUGGCUCUGUUUUAUCUCCCCAUCUCCUCUCUGUUGGUGUCCCCCAAGGUUCAGUCCUUGGUCCCCUACUGUUCUCCAUCUAUACUGCCUCCCUUGGUAAACUCAUUAGCUCCUUUGGCUUCCAAUAUCAUUUCUAUGCAGAUGACACGCAAGUCUACCUGUCCUCUCCCCGUCCCUCUUGACUAGUGUCUCUGACUGCCUCUCUGCUAUUUCUAACUGGAUGGCUGCCCACUUCCUUAAACUAAACUUGACCAAAACUGAAAUUCUGGUCUUUCCUCCCUCAAGUGUUGUUACUCCUGUGUCUGUCUCCCUCCAAGUUAACGGUGCUACCAUCAGCUCCACCAUGCAGGCUCGCUGCCUAGGUGUUCUCUUUGACUCAGACCUCUCCUUCAAGCCUCAUGUUCAAUCCAUUGCCAAAUCCUGUCAUUUCCAUCUCAAAAACAUUGCGCGCAUCCGACCCUACUUAACACCAGAUGUGACUACGGUGUUGGUCCAUUCCACUGUCCUUUCUUGCCUUGACUACUGUAAUUCGCUUCUCAGUGGUCUUAUGUGCUCCCAACUUGCGCCGUUACAGUCCAUAAUGAAUGCGGCAGCGAGGCUCAUCUUCCUGCCCGCCUGCACCUCCCAUGCCUCACCCUUCUGUCAGUCCCUACAAUGGCUUAAAAUUCUGGUUCUUGCUUUCAAAUCUCUACAUAAUGCUGCUCCCACCUAUCUAUCUGGCCUAAUACACAAGUAUGUCACGUCUAGGCCCUUACGCUCUGCUGAAGACUUACAUCUAUCUUCUGUCCGUACUCCCACCUCUGAUGCUCACCUUCAAGAUUUCUCGAGGGCUGCGCCGUUUCUGUGGAACUCGCUUCCCUCCUCCGUUACAUGCUCACCCAAUCUCCACUCCUUCAAAAUAUCGUUAAAAACCCACUUCUUCAUAAAAGCGUAUCAAUUAAACUAUUAAUAGCUCCUGACUGAUUCCUCUUCUGCAACUGUCAUUAGUCUAAUACUAUCCUUACCUUUGUGUCAUUUUACCUCACUCCCUCUAGCAUGUAAGCUCAUUGAGCAGGGCCCUCAACCCCUCUGUUCCUGUGUGUCCAGCUUGUCUGGUUACAACUACAUGUCUGUUCGUCCACCCAUUGUUAAGCGCUGCGGAAUUUGAUGGCGCUAUAUAAAUAACAUAAUAACAACACUGCAGGAGAUAUCGCUAAGGUGGAAUGCAUUUCUGCAUUAGUCGCGCCAAUCGUUUCCAAGCAAUGAAUGGCAGUGAUAGACAGAGAGCACUGAGCUGAUGCUCUGAGCCAAUCACUGCCAACCAUCUCUGCUCAGGCUCAUGUGGCAGCAUUUACCAGAGCAGCAGUGAAAACAACAGUUUAACACUGAACAGUUGACAGUGCCUGGAGACUCCAGGCACCAUAACUUCUUCAAUGGUUAUCAUGCACAGACUGUCAUUUUUAUAUACAGAAGCUGCAUAUUCAGUAGAUCUGAUAAAAGGAGCUUCGGCUCAGCAUGGUUUACAUGAUAAGACUGCACAGCCCAAGAUGAGAGGCUUGUGAUAAGUGGAGCCUUUUUCAGGUCUCAGCUCUUUGCUGCUGUUAGGUAUCCCCCCUACUUUUUCAAUGCAUUUGCCAUAUAUUAAAUAAAGGAGAGGGGGGAGAGAGAGCAUUCUACCAUGGAGUGUCUCUUUAACCAUUACUCCUUUUACAACGGUAUGCAAUGUCCAGCCCCUACCCCUAUGCAGUGACUAAAGCGGAGUUGGACAAUUUGUAUAAAACAUAACAAUGUGAACAGCUAGGAGUUUACAAAAUAGCCACAUGUUUUGCAAUCUGGAUAUUUAUGAAUUCACACAAGCUCUAGCAAGUCCCACAUGCUGGGAAUUAAGUGUAAACGUAUAACUAUAGUUAAUAAACACUGUGGGUGCCAGCUGUGAUUGCCACAUCCACCAUGUUUCACUGGGACCCUAACUCCCCCAUGGCAGUGUGCAGGCUCCACACACU